ensembl:snoRNA SNORA70 Small nucleolar RNA SNORA70
CUGCAGCCAAUUAAGCCGACCAUGCUCUUUUCCCCAUGGGGGCCUGGUGUGCAAUGGCUGCAAACAGCAGCAUCCUUGGUAGUGUACGCAACCUGUUGCUUAGUAUGGGUUGCCUUAAGGGACCUUGGAUACAGAC